CAUAUUACAUGCGAUGUUUGUUUCUACAAAAAAAAAUAAAAAAAUACAAAGCCCAUUUUAGGGCAUGCAACAUAACUUUGAACCCUAAUUUUGGCACAUUUCAUCUUUUCAUCUUUCUGGAAACUGCUGGAGGAGCUCUUUGUUGGCCGCCAUAUGCAUUAUAUUUGUUGUUUGAUGAAGCUCGAAUAAUGGUUUGAAGGCUUUUGAGAAAAAUUCUUGAGGCAUCCACUUAGUCUUAAAGGCUCGGUAAAAGAACGGUCAUCAUAUGGAGUGGAUAGCAAGAUGUUUGGAUCAAUGAAGCUGAUCGAAAGAAUCUUCUUCAGAACUAAUCAACCUAUCUAGGCAAUGAUGUGUUCUUUCUUUCUUUUCCUUUUUCAUACAUUCUUUUAUUUCUUUUGUGUUUACGUUUCUAUGAUCAAUGAGAUCUUUUCUCAGCUAUUCCCAUGACUUGUGUGGGAUCUUGUAAACAAUUUGUUUUCAUAAAUAAAAAUGUAUUUUAUGCAA